GACGAACGUUGGCGGCGUGCUUAACACAUGCAAGUCGAACGGAAAGGCCCUGCUUUUGUGGGGUGCUCGAGUGGCGAACGGGUGAGUAACACGUGAGUAACCUGCCCUUGACUUUGGGAUAACUUCAGGAAACUGGGGCUAAUACCGGAUAGGAGCUCCUGCUGCAUGGUGGGGGUUGGAAAGUUUCGGCGGUUGGGGAUGGACUCGCGGCUUAUCAGCUUGUUGGUGGGGUAGUGGCUUACCAAGGCUUUGACGGGUAGCCGGCCUGAGAGGGUGACCGGCCACAUUGGGACUGAGAUACGGCCCGGACUCCUACGGGAGGCAGCAGUGGGGAAUAUUGCACAAUGGGCGGAAGCCUGAUGCAGCAACGCCGCGUGCGGGAUGACGGCCUUCGGGUUGUAAACCGCUUUCGCCUGUGACGAAGCGUGAGUGACGGUAAUGGGUAAAGAAGCACCGGCUAACUACGUGCCAGCAGCCGCGGUGAUACGUAGGGUGCGAGCGUUGUCCGGAUUUAUUGGGCGUAAAGGGCUCGUAGGUGGUUGAUCGCGUCGGAAGUGUAAUCUUGGGGCUUAACCCUGAGCGUGCUUUCGAUACGGGUUGACUUGAGGAAGGUAGGGGAGAAUGGAAUUCCUGGUGGAGCGGUGGAAUGCGCAGAUAUCAGGAGGAACACCAGUGGCGAAGGCGGUUCUCUGGGCCUUACCCGACGCUGAGGAGCGAAAGCGUGGGGAGCGAACAGGCUUAGAUACCCUGGUAGUCCACGCUGUAAACGGUGGGUACUAGGUGUGGGGUCCAUUCCACGGGUUCCGUGCCGUAGCUAACGCUUUAAGUACCCCGCCUGGGGAGUACGGCCGCAAGGCUAAAACUCAAAGGAAUUGACGGGGCCCCGCACAAGCGGCGGAGCAUGCGGAUUAAUUCGAUGCAACGCGUAGAACCUUACCUGGGUUUGACAUGGAUCGGGAGUGCUCAGAGAUGGGUGUGCCUCUUUUGGGGUCGGUUCACAGGUGGUGCAUGGCUGUCGUCAGCUCGUGUCGUGAGAUGUUGGGUUAAGUCCCGCAACGAGCGCAACCCUUGUUCACUGUUGCCAGCACGUUAUGGUGGGGACUCAGUGGAGACCGCCGGGGUCAACUCGGAGGAAGGUGGGGAUGACGUCAAGUCAUCAUGCCCCUUAUGUCCAGGGCUUCACGCAUGCUACAAUGGCUGGUACAGAGAGUGGCGAGCCUGUGAGGGUGAGCGAAUCUCGGAAAGCCGGUCUCAGUUCGGAUUGGGGUCUGCAACUCGACCUCAUGAAGUCGGAGUCGCUAGUAGCCGCAGAUCAGCAACGCUGCGGUGAAUACGUUCCCGGG
rnacentral:rRNA from 1 species